AUUGAACGCUGGCGGCAUGCCUUACACAUGCAAGUCGAACGGCAGCACGGGUGCUUGCACCUGGUGGCGAGUGGCGAACGGGCGAGUAAUACAUCGGAACAUGUCCUGUAGUGGGGGAUAGCCCGGCGAAAGCCGGAUUAAUACCGCAUACGAUCUUCGGAUGAAAGCGGGGGCCCUUCGGGCCUCGCGCUAUAGGGUUGGCCGAUGGCUGAUUAGCUAGUUGGUGGGGUAAAGGCCUACCAAGGCGACGAUCAGUAGCUGGUCUGAGAGGACGACCAGCCACACUGGGACUGAGACACGGCCCAGACUCCUACGGGAGGCAGCAGUGGGGAAUUUUGGACAAUGGGCGAAAGCCUGAUCCAGCAAUGCCGCGUGUGUGAAGAAGGCCUUCGGGUUGUAAAGCACUUUUGUCCGGAAAGAAAUCCUUGGCCCUAAUACGGUCGGGGGAUGACGGUACCGGAAGAAUAAGCACCGGCUAACUACGUG
rnacentral:rRNA from 1 species